GACGAACGCUGGCGGCGUGCUUAACACAUGCAAGUCGAACGGUGAGGAUCAAGCUUGCUUGGUCUGAUCAGUGGCGAACGGGUGAGUAACACGUGAGUAACCUGCCCCAGACUCUGGGAUAACCCCGGGAAACCGGAGCUAAUACCGGAUAUGACACCAAUCCGCAUGGGUAUGGUGUGGAAAGUUUUUCGGUCUGGGAUGGACUCGCGGCCUAUCAGCUUGUUGGUGAGGUAGUGGCUCACCAAGGCGACGACGGGUAGCCGGCCUGAGAGGGCGACCGGCCACACUGGGACUGAGACACGGCCCAGACUCCUACGGGAGGCAGCAGUGGGGAAUAUUGCACAAUGGGCGGAAGCCUGAUGCAGCGACGCCGCGUGAGGGAUGACGGCCUUCGGGUUGUAAACCUCUUUCAGCAGGGAAGAAGCGCAAG
rnacentral:rRNA from 1 species